UCUUUUUAAAUUUUGAAAGGGUCGUGGCUGCUUUCAUAACAGAUAUAAAAUAUUCUUUCUUUUUCACUUUUAAUUUUUGUUAUCGCGUGUAGACAAAGUUUCCAUUUCCAGUUUUACCUCUCCGAUAAUGGUUUUGCCGUCGGAAAUUUUGAUGAUUUUUUUUCUCUUAUCACUCUUGAGCUUUAUAAAGUGGUCUUUUAAGUUUUCUUUGACCUAGGAGUUCUCGAUCUGUGGUGUUGGUGUUUGUACGGCGUAGUGGUCUCAGACUUCACGACCCAAAUUUGUAGGGCAGUUGAGAAAUGUGGUGGUAUGAGUUUUCUCGGUGAAUAGAUGCGACGUAGGUGUCAGGGAUGUUUCUAAUCGGAUUCUCUCUCUGGUUCGUAUCGGUGAAGCCUCUUCGAUCUAUUCUCUUAUUUCUUGCCCUACUCUUUCUCUUUCUUUUCAUGUUUUAUGAUUUGUUUCGCUUUUACACCGUGUUUUAUGGUGGUGAUUCAUUGCCCCACUUUAUCUUUUAUGGUUUCAGCUUUCUAAUUAAAAUAAUUUCACUGUUUCCGCUUGGCCUUUGAGAGAUUUGGAUGGCAGCGACUUUAGCUGACGUAACGGCUUCCUUUGGUGGUGUAUUUCAGUGGAUUGAUCGGCUCCGGUUAUCUAUGUUGACCUUAAAUUUUGGUUUAGAUUUUAGGUCAUUCCUAUUUAGAUAGACAAAUUGUGAGUUUUGUAAUUUUUUCUUUUCUUUAGUUAUUUUCUUUUAUUUCUUGUUUUCAUUUUUCCUUAUUAGAAAAUAUAAAAACUUUUGAAAAAUAUUUUUCUAUGAAAUAAUUUUAAGUAUUCAAACAAAUAAAUUUAAGUAUAAAAUAAUAUAAUUUGCUUCAUUCGCCAUUUUAUAAUAGAAUAAAAAUAAUUUUAUUUUAUAGAUAAAGUAAUGUGUUUCUUUAUUUAUUUGAUAAUAUAUUUUUACUUUAAAAUAAAAUAUGCACGAAAGUAAAUUUUGUAUUAUGAGAGAAUAAUAGAAUAACCCCGUUGUUCUGAAUGUGGGCGUGGGUGAACGUCAUGAAACAAUAAAUACUAUGGUGGACAUUUUAUGUUAAUAAAACAUUAAUUUAUCACUGACAUUAAUUUCGAGUAAUAGAAUGACCGUUCGUUGUAAAAAAAAAAAAAUCAGUCAAUAAAAGUUUACCUUUUAUA